AAAUGACCAAUUACAGUCGAAUCCGUGAAGAAUAAGCGACUGUGAUUCGCUCAUUUCUUAUGGCUUAAGGCUUAAAACCAUAUUGUAUAAAUCCGGAUUUACAAUAGAUUUUUGAGCCUUAAGCCAUAAGAAAUGGACGAAUCACAGUCGAUUAUUUUCCUCGCACUCGACUGUAAUUGGUCAAUU
rnacentral:pre_miRNA from 1 species